GACGCUGAUAAUAUGGUAACUUACUGAUAUUGCGAAGAUGUUUACGUCAACUAACUGUUCGUUUGUCUUUAUAAAGUUCGGUACCCGGCGCCUCCACCAAAAACCGGCGGCAAGGAAGGCCGGCUUUUGAUGGGGGCGAAACAGGAUCGACAAGGGUGUAAAGAUCGACUUUUUGCUCGGCAUUGUACCGCCGUUAUCGGGCUAAAAUUGUAGUUGCAAACGACAACUAUGCGGAAGCUCGUCUCGCUGCUUAAUCGCGGUGUGACACUUCAAUCAAAGUCCUAGUGGUUCGCACCUCUAGGCGGGGUCCGAAGGCACCUGGCAACAGAAGCCUUCACC
rnacentral:tmRNA from 1 species